UACGGAAGGCAGCAGUGGGGAAUAUUGCACAAUGGGCGCAAGCCUGAUGCAGCCAUGCCGCGUGUAUGAAGAAGGCCUUCGGGUUGUAAAGUACUUUCAGUCGUGAGGAAGGUGUUAAGGUUAAUAACCUUAGCAAUUGACGUUAGCGACAGAAGAAGCACCGGCUAACUCCGUGCCAGCAGCCGCGGUAAUACGGAGGGUGCGAGCGUUAAUCGGAAUUACUGGGCGUAAAGGGCACGCAGGCGGUUAAUUAAGUUGGAUGUGAAAUCCCCGGGCUUAACCUGGGAAUGGCAUUCAAGACUGGUUAGCUAGAGUCUUGUAGAGGGGGUUAGAAUUCCAUGUGUAGCGGUGAAAUGCGUAGAGAUGUGGAGGAAUACCGGUGGCGAAGGCGGCCCCUGGACAAAGGACUGACGCUCAUGUGCGAAAGCGUGGGGAGCAAACAGGGAUUAGAUA
rnacentral:rRNA from 1 species